rnacentral:rRNA from 1 species
UACGGGGGGGGCAAGCGGUUGUUCGGAAUUACGUGGGCGUAAAGGGCUCGUAGGUGGCCAACUAAGUCGGACGUGAAAUCCCUCGGCUUAACCGGGGACUGCAUCCGAUACUGGAUGGCUUGAGUUCGGGAGAGGAUGCGGAAUUCCAGGUGUAGCGGUGAAAUGCGUAGAUAUCUGGAGGAACACCGGUGGCGAAGGCGGCAUCCUGGACCGACACUGACGCUGAGGAGCGAAAGCCAGGGGAGCAAACGGGG